UUCCUCUCCUCUCCCCUCUUCCUCUCUCUCCCCUCUUCCUCUCUCUCUCCCUCUUUCUCUCUCUCUCUCUCUCUCUCCCCUCUCUUCCUCUCCUCUCCUCUCCCUCUCUCUUAUAUCAGAUACUGUGUCCUGUAGACAGUAUUCCUGGCUGUUCUGACUGUUUUUAAUGCUAGUCUGAUCAUAGAGUGAAUCUAACUAAACUUGUACAACCCCAGUGAGGUGUGUGUGUGUGUGUGUGUGUGUGUGUGUGUGUGUGUGUGUGUGUGUGUGUGUGUGAGAGAACGUGUACUAAGCAGGGAUUUUGCACAUGCUUAAUUAGCUGUGACUGUUGCUUCACCGUUAGUCCUUAGCUGGAGACGACUCCACUGCCUGGUACACUGUGUUACUACCCCCCACCCCGUUACCGGCCACAACUUGUGAGGUCACUGCUUAGCGACCCUGACCUAUGACCCUGACACACAGCCACAUAUGAAUUUUCCCCCCUUGAGGUCAAAGUGUGAAUUUUCACCCCCACCCCUUGAGGUCAACGUGCGAAUUUUCACCCCCACCCCUUGAGGUCAACGUGUGAAUUUUUUUCACUCCCCCGCAAAUGUAUAUAUGAACUUUAACCCCUGAGGUCAACGUAUAUAUGAACUUUAACCCCUGAGGUCAACGUAUAUGAACUGGUGACUGGGUGGAGGAACUUUCUCAGAAGAGGAAGAGACGGUGUUUAUUUGGGAGUGAAAGACUCAAGGGACUUGUUUCUGUAGACUAAAGAUGUCUGUUAUUAUACAACUGUCUGGAGUCCUUUAG